rfam:Lingula anatina scaffold577, whole genome shotgun sequence.
AUCUUUGGUUAUCUAGCUGUAUGAUAGACUUUGGACUUCAUAAAGCUAGGUUACCAAAGUU